GACGAACGCUGGCGGCGUGCUUAACACAUGCAAGUCGAACGGAAAGGCCCUGCUUGUGUGGGGUGCUCGAGUGGCGAACGGGUGAGUAACACGUGAGUAACCUGCCCUAGACUUUGGGAUAACUUCAGGAAACUGGGGCUAAUACCGGAUAGGAGCUGCUGUUGCAUGGUGGGGGUUGGAACGUUUCGGCGGGUGGGGAUGGACUAGCGGCUUAUCAGCUUGUUGGUGGGGUAGUGGCUUACCAAGGCAUUGGCGGGUAGCCGGCCUGAGAGGGUGACCGGCCACAUUGGGACUGAGGUGCGGCACAGACGCCGACGGGAGGCAGCAGGGGGGAAUAUUGAACAAGGGGCGGAAGCCUGGUGCAGCAACCCCGCGGGUGGGAUAACCGCCUUCGGGUUAUAAAACAGUUUCGCCUGUAACGAAGCGUGUGUGACGGUAAUGGGUAGAGAAAGAACGGCUAAAUACGUG
rnacentral:rRNA from 1 species